GACGCGAAAGUUGGCUUCGGUCAGCGAGUAGAGCGGCGCACGGGUGAGUAACACGUGGGUUAUUUGCCACGGAGAUCGGGAUAACCUGCCGAAAGGCGGGCUAAUACCGGAUACGUUCCUUUGGGAUGCGUCCUGGGGGAAGAAAAGGGACUGAAGAAGCCCCGUCUGUGAUGAGCCCGGGUCCAUCAGGUAGUUGGUGAGGUAACGGUCACCAAGCCUAAGACGGAUAGCUGGUCUGAGAGGAUGAUCAGCACACUGGGAACUGAGACACGGUCCAGACUCUUACGGGAGGCAGCAGUGGGGAAUUUUGGUCAAUGGGCGCAAGCCUGAACCAGCAACGCCGCGUGGGUGAUGAAGGCCUUCGGGUUGUAAAGCACUUUUAGUGGGGAUGAAAAGCACAUUGCUAAUACCAGUGUGUCUUGACCUAACCCAAAGAAAAAGCCCCGGCUAACCUCGUGCCAGCAGCCGCGGUAAUACGAAGGGGGCUAGCGUUGUUCGGAAUUACUGGGCGUAAAGCGCACGUAGGCGGCUUCUUAAGUCGGUGGUGAAAUCCUGGAGCUCAACUCCAGAACUGCCUUCGAUACUGGGAAGCUCGAGUCCGGGAGAGGUGAGUGGAACUGCGAGUGUAGAGGUGAAAUUCGUAGAUUUCGCAAGAACACCAGUGGCGAAGGCGGCUCACUGGCCCCGGUACUGACGCUGAGGUGCGAAAGCGUGGGGAGCAAACAGGAUUAGAUACCCCUAGUAGUCCACGCCGUAACGAUGAAUGCUAGCG
rnacentral:rRNA from 1 species